CAAUAAUGCAAUCAACCAAAAAAUAUGAAAAUGUGAGAGAAACAUCAAACCCUAGAUCCAGACAAAUCUAGUUAAUAAACAUUCACUACAUAUACACCCAAAUAGAAAUAUUUCAGUUUAUGUUUUCAAGAACAACAUUUAUUCUUUACAUGCUCACAUCUCAUAGGAAUUCACCUACUUAAUGCUUUCACAAACUUAUACCGACAUAGAUUUGGGUACAACAGACAACGGCCAGCAAGAGAAUUCCUAGUAAUUAUGCUUCUACACACACACAUACACAGAGAGAGAGAGAGUAUGAAUUUAUUUUCGAACUAGAAAAGAAGAAGCAAAUCACAUGCUAAGAAAUGAUCAUACCCUGCUCUUCAAUCACCAUAUCUAAAGCAAAACAAAUUAUUUGAAAUUCCUUAAACUAGAUGCAAAUUUAGCAAAGAUUCUUCAUAUUGAGUGCACAAGUGAAGAAUCUUGACGAACUAGUGGAUAGACAGAUAGAUAUUAAUUUGCUUGAUCUAGCAAAAUAUCGGACCGACACGCUUCGAUUCCCCAGAGAGAGAAGGAGAAGAAGAAAUCCAUUGCAGACUCAUGACUCAAAGAAGAUCGGAAACAGAAAGUAGGGUUUCCUCUUCUUCAAUGAACCCAUCUUCAAUAUCUCCUGUUUUCUCUCUCCUUUUCUUCCUUUUUCUUGCUGUGAUCUUUGAUUUUGUAGAUGGGGUUUGUUGAUGGUAAAAGAAUGUCUUGUGGUGAUGACGAAAGUAUGGGACAAAUGAUGAAAUACAAAGUUUACAAGACAUGAUGAUUACUGCAGGUGUUUUGUUUUAAAAUAAGGGAAAAAUCCAAAGCAAAAAUUAAGGUAUAGAACUGCAAAUAAACUCAGAUAAAAUCUUGAUCUUCCCCUAAGGCUAUCGAGAGAGAGAGAGAGAGAGAGACCUAAUCAUAUAUUUC
rnacentral:lncRNA from 1 species